AACAGGGCUGCUUUAUUACACCAUCCAAACCAUCGUUAAAACGUCACAUUUUCACUGUGGUAGGUCGCUGCUUGACGCUUGUUGUUUCCCGCAGGAAAGGACAUUUAGGAGACAGCAGAAGGGAGAAGAAAGCCAACAGCAGACUGAACACCUGUAACCUUUUUCUGGUGUGUCAGACUGAAAGGUCUCAAACAUCCUGGGAAAGCUAAGACUCGAUUUAUGGCACCAAGAACAAAUGAAGUAAAUGUGGAAACUACGGAGCAAAUAAAAAAGGAAGAGCGCCAAGUCAGAGGAGGAAAAGAAGGCAAAGAGGGACAGAGACAGAGGCGCUCACCUUUAGAAUCAGACAGGGAGUGGCUCCGUCUGUCUGCUGGACGCUCAAACUUGCCAUCGAUGAAGAGACCCAGAGAGCGGGAAUGAUGAUCCAGCCAGGCCUGA